UACAGAGGGUGCAAGCGUUGUUCGGAAUUAUUGGGCGUAAAGAGCUCGUAGGCGGCUUGUCGCGUCGGAUGUGAAAGCCCGGGGCUUAACUCCGGGUCUGCAUUCGAUACGGGCAGGCUAGAGUGUGGUAGGGGAGAUCGGAAUUCCUGGUGGUAGCGGUGAAAUGCGCAGAUAUCAGGAGGAACACCGGUGGCGAAGGCGGGUCUCUGGGCAACAACUGACGCUCAGGUGCGAAAGCCAGGGGAGCGAACGGG
rnacentral:rRNA from 1 species